GUGAACGCCCUCACGGGCUUAUACUAUUCCAAACUCGGUGAACCGUGCCCUUCGGUGCAUUUUACAAACAUGGGUAAUGAACGUCAUAUAUCAUAACAAAACA
rnacentral:misc_RNA from 1 species